GAGGAGACAUAGGAUAGGAGGGAAUUUGUAGCGAAUCUGGCUGAUGAAGCUGACUUAAAACAUGAGAAAUCUGAAUCAAAUGCAAAUAUAAAAUUGUAUUUAGUUAUGAAAAUUCGUCUGUCAUCUCUUUCAAAGAGAAAUACUGCAGCUUGGCACUUUUCUAGGAGAGAUACGACUAGAAAGCAUGGUCGGAAUGAUCACCUACAUAGAAAAUAGCAUAACACCAAAAAGUAGCUUUGUGAGAACCGAGGGCUUAAAUGAUGUACAGUAAGUCAAGAAAACUUGCGCCAAGAACAACUGAAGUUAAAAU
rnacentral:lncRNA from 1 species